CCUACGGGAGGCUGCAGUGAGGAAUAUUGGUCAAUGGACGAGAGUCUGAACCAGCCAAGUAGCGUGAAGGAUGACUGCCCUAUGGGUUGUAAACUUCUUUUAUAAAGGAAUAAAACGAGGCACGUGUGCCUUUUUGCAUGUACUUUAUGAAUAAGGAUCGGCUAACGCCGUGCCAGCAGCCGCGGUAAUACGGAGGAUCCGAGCGUUAUCCGGAUUUUUUGGGUUUACAGGGAGCGUAGAUGGGUUGUUAAGUCAGUUGUGAAAGUUUGCGGCUCAACCGUAAGAUUGCACUUGAUACUGGCAGUCUUGAGUACAGUUGAGGUAGGCGGAAUUCGUGGUGUAGCGGUGAAAUGGUUAGAUAUCACGAAGAACCCUGAUUGCGAAGGCAGCUUACUAAACUGUGACUGACAUUGAUGCUCGAAAGUGUGGGGAGCAAACAGGAUUAGAUACCCUUGUAGUC
rnacentral:rRNA from 1 species